AAAAGUAAUUAAGAGCGUAAGGUGGAUGCCUAGGCUCUCAGAGGCGAAGAAGGACGUGACAAGCUGCGAUAAGCUGCGGGGAGGUGCAAAUAACCAUUAUAUCCGCAGAUUUCCGAAUGGGGGAACCCAGCUGGUUGAAGACCAGUUAUCCGAAAGGAGGCAAACCCGGCGAACUGAAACAUCUAAGUAACCGGAGGAAGAGAAAACAACAGUGAUUCCCUAAGUAGUGGCGAUCGAACGGGGAACAGCCCAAACCGGUGUCGUUUCGGCGACAUCGGGGUAGUAGGACUACGACAUGGAUUAUAGAUUUGAAGUGGAACCAUCUGGAAAGGUGGGCCAUAGAGAGUGAUAGUCUCGUACACGUAAGGAUUUACGAUCCUAGUAGUAUCCUGAGUAGCGCGGAACACGAGAAAUUUUGCGUGAAUUUGCCAGGACCAUCUGGUAAGGCUAAAUACUCCUGAGAGACCGAUAGUGAACUAGUACCGUGAGGGAAAGGUGAAAAGCACCUCGAACAGAGGAGUGAAAUAGUACCUGAAACCAUACGCUUACAAACGGUCGGAGCCCAUUUAGGUGGGUGACGGCGUGCCUUUUGCAUAAUGAGCCUACGAGUUACUCCUCACUAGCAAGGUUAAGUUCUUUAGGGACGAAGCCGAAGCGAAAGCAAGUCUGAACAGGGCGUCUAGUUAGUGGGGGUAGACGCGAAACCUGAUGAUCUAUCCAUGGCCAGGUUGAAGCUGUGGUAACACACAGUGGAGGACCGAACCAGUUGACGUUGAAAAGUCUUUGGAUGAGCUGUGGAUAGGGGUGAAAGGCCAAUCAAAUUGGGAAAUAGCUCGUACUCCCCGAAAUGCAUUUAGGUGCAGCCUCGAGUAUAGAGUGUCAUAGAGGUAGAGCUACUGAUAAGGCUAGAGGGCUUCACCGCCUAUCAACCCUUGAUAAACUCCGAAUGCUAUGACAUGUUCCUCGGGAGUGAGGCCAUGGGUGCUAAGGUCCGUGGCCAAAAGGGAAAGAACCCAGACCAUCAGCUAAGGUCCCCAAAUGUAUGCUAAGUUGAACUAACGUAGUGCGAUUGCUCUGACAGCUAGGAUGUUGGCUUGGAAGCAGCCAUUCAUUUAAAGAGUGCGUAACAGCUCACUAGUCGAGCGAUUGUGCGUGGAUGAUAAUCGGGCAUAAAGCAUACUACCGAAGCUAUGGACUCGCAAGAGUGGUAGGGGAGCAUUCCAGUCGGCGUAGAAGGUGAAUCGUGAGGUUUGCUGGAGCGUCUGGAAAAGCAAAUGUAGGCAUAAGUAACGAUAAAGCAGGUGAGAAACCUGCUCGCCGCAAGACUAAGGUUUCCGGAUCAACGCUAAUCGGAUCCGGGUUAGUCGGGACCUAAGGCGAAACCGAAAGGUGUAGUCGAUGGACCAUUGGUUAAUAUUCCAAUACUACCUUAUACUGCGAUGGGAUGACGAAGAAGUGAAAGGUCCGCGUGCUGACGGAAUAGCACGUUAAAGGAUGUAGGUAUAUCCGGGUGUUAAUAGCAUUUGGGUGCUGAAUCUGAUAGUACCGUGAGCCUUCGGGCAAGCGGAUAGUGACCCUAAUCAGACUUCCAAGAAAACCCCCUAAGCAUCAGGUAUAAGGUACCCGUACCGUAAACCGACACAGGUAGUCGAGGAGAGUAUCCUAAGGCGCUCGAGUGAUUCAUGGUUAAGGAACUAGGCAAAAUGACCCCGUAACUUCGGGAGAAGGGGUGCCAGCGCGAGCUGGCCGCAGAGAAAUAGCCCAAGCGACUGUUUAUCAAAAACACAAGGCUUUGCGAAAUCGAAAGAUGAGGUAUAAGGCCUGACACCUGCCCGGUGCCGGAAGGUUAAGAGGGGGGGUUAUCCUUCGGGAGAAGCUCUGAAUCGAAGCCCCGGUAAACGGCGGCCGUAACUAUAACGGUCCUAAGGUAGCGAAAUUCCUUGUCGGGUAAGUUCCGACCUGCACGAAUGGUGUAACGAUUUGGCUUUACUACAGCUUAACAUUGAUUUUGGGUAUGUGAUGUGUAGGAUAGCUGGGAGACUAUGAAGUGGCUUCGCCAGGAGUCGUGGAGUCAACCUUGAAAUACCAGCCUUCACAUAUUUGGAGUCUAAUCCCUAUAGGGAGACAGUGUUUGGUGGGUAGUUUGACUGGGGUGGUCGCCUCCAAAAGCGUAACGGAGGCUUCUAAAGGUGCCCUCAGCAUGAUUGGUAACCAUGCGAAGAGUAUAAUGGCAUAAGGGCGCUUGACUGUGAGACUGACAAGUCGAGCAGGUACGAAAGUAGAGCAUAGUGAUCCGGUGGUUCCGUAUGGAAGGGCCAUCGCUCAAAGGAUAAAAGGUACUCCGGGGAUAACAGGCUGAUCGCUCC
rnacentral:rRNA from 1 species